CGUUCUGUGGCGUAGUUGGCUAACGUGCCAGUCUAGCGUAUUGGGAGUCGUGGGAUAGAAACCCAUCAGAACGA
rnacentral:tRNA from 1 species